rnacentral:rRNA from 1 species
AGUGAACGCUGGCGGUAGGCCUAACACAUGCAAGUCGAACGGCAGCACAGUAAGAGCUUGCUCUUACGGGUGGCGAGUGGCGGACGGGUGAGGAAUACAUCGGAAUCUACUUUUUCGUGGGGGAUAACGUAGGGAAACUUACGCUAAUACCGCAUACGACCUACGGGUGAAAGCAGGGGAUCUUCGGACCUUGCGCGAUUGAAUGAGCCGAUGUCGGAUUAGCUAGUUGGCGGGGUAAAGGCCCACCAAGGCGACGAUCCGUAGCUGGUCUGAGAGGAUGAUGAGCCACACUGAAACGGAGACACGGUCAGGACUCCUACGGGAGGCGGAGGUGGGAAAUAUUGGACAAUGGGCGCAGGCCGAAUCAAGCCAUACGGGGUGGGUGAAGAGGCCCUUCGGGUUGUAAAGCCCUUUUGUUGGGAAAGAAAGGCAGCAGGUUAAUACCCCGCUGUUCUGACGGUACCCAAAGAAUAAGCAACGGCUAACUUCGUG